CUACGCAAACUUGAUUGAACCUUCGCCAUCACUGGGCAGGCAAGCUACAGCUAAAGAUAAUAACUAAAAAUAAGUUUCAGGGAUGCAAGAAAAGGUCCGGGCCGCCUGAGGUAAUGAGGACUGAAAAAGGCUACUUCUUGGUUGACGGAGGAUGAGCCGCCAGAUGGGCAAUUAUUAAGUGGACCAUUCCACCGAGGCCAUGGCGACCUCAAAGGGACUCUUGGCUCAAAGGGUUGGAACCAGACUGGACAUCUCCAGGGAGUUGGGGAGCACAAAUGGCAUCAGAGUGUACGAUUACACAACCCACCAUGGCUGAAAAAAAAAACGUACGGUAGAAAAGCAGUUGUAGUGUUCUUCCCAUGCGUUCAGGAAUUACUGACUUGAAAGUAUUCACAGCCAUUCACUUUUCCCACAUUUUGUUAUGUCAAAGACUAAAAUUCGACAUACCCCAUAAUGAAAAUUUGAACAGUUUUUGUAAUUUAUUUAAAAUGGAAAAAAAUCACACGUACUUUAAGUAUUCACAGCAUUUGCUCAAUACUUUAUUGAUGCACCUUUUGGCAGAAAUUACAGCCUCAGCCUCAAGCGUGGCAUCAUAUUAAAAAAAUCUAUCUUUGGGCAGUUUCGCCCAUUUCGCUU